GGGCUUCCGCAUGACGGCUGCGUUUCCUAUAUUCGGGGCUGCCGGGGCAACCCGGCUAUGGCGAUAAACGGCGCGUGGAAUAAGCGUUGCGGACCCGGGGGCAGUGCCCGGCGCCUCCACCAGCACCGCCUCGGCUGUGGCGGAGUGCGGGGGCGAAACAGGCUCGACGCGCGUGGUAAAGACCCGCCUUUCGCCCGGCAUGGUACCGCCGUCAUCGGGCCGAUCAUAAGUGCCAACGACAACAGCCGUAUGGCGCUCGCUGCCUGACGUAGUCUAGGCAAGCGCGGUCCGGGGGGCACCGGGCAACAGAAGCCCCCCACU
rnacentral:tmRNA from 1 species